rnacentral:rRNA from 1 species
ACAUGACUCUCGGCAACGGAUAUCUCGGCUCUCGCAUCGAUGAAGAACGUAGCGAAAUGCGAUACCUGGUGUGAAUUGCAGAAUCCCGCGAACCAUCGAGUCUUUGAACGCAAGUUGCGCCCGAGGCCGAGGGCCGAGGGCACGCCUGCCUGGGCGUCACGC